ACCCAACAGGUUUGUGCCAUUUCGCUCCAAUACUUCAGAUGAGUGCAGUGAGGAAUGUGACUUUCCAGAAGUGAUACAGCUGAUAUUCGGCAGAGCCAGAUUCCAAAACAAGUGACCUGGCUGCUGAGACCAUGCUCCCAACCAUUGCCAUCAUCAGCCUCCUGGGUCACAGGGCUGAGGAAUGACUGUCACAUAGUAGAUGCUCAGGAAACAGGAACACCACCGCACUGGCAGACUCUCAAAAUCCAGGCAUCAGCUUUCUCAUGGUAAUCCCAGAUAGACUUGGAAAUUCUAGGGUCUUGUCUCCAUUUGAUGGAGCAGCCCUGACCAUGGCCCUCCCCUUGCUUGGCUGUCAUUGACUUACGUGAAAGGAGGUGGAAAUAGAUCAAUACUUCUGGCACUUGCAGUCAUUUGUGGACACACACAGAGCAGCAAAAAGUUGAAGUUGCCUGACGCAUAUCUUCCCUGCUGAGGUGGAGUGACGCGGCCCUCUGCCUUCCUCUUUGAGCUCUGGUGCAGAGGCAAACUUUUGGACCCAAAAGAAGAACAGAGUGUGGUUUCAGUGUCCAUUCUUUGCUUAGCCUCUCCAACCAUCCAAGCAAGUAGAGAGCCCUGUGACAGUAGAAGCGGCCAGAUGUCAGACCAGCAUCAUGGCCUGGAGACUUUAUCUGCCUUCCCAUGCUUCUUCUACCUUCAGCGUACGAUACCAUUCCCUCCACUGGUCUCUCACGCGACUGACGGCCUGUCUGUGUCAGUUUCUCAGACGAGCUGAACUGACACAGGGCCUUUGAAUCACUGGCCACUUUUUUUCUUCCUUUUCUGUUGAAAAAUUCUUUCCUCUCCCUCAUUUUCUAGUUCUGCAUCUACAUAAAAUGAAACAAUAGGUCUUAUGAGAAGACAAAAGAGUGAUUCAACCCCUGCUUAAAAACCUCCUCUUGGGGGGUGCCUGGGUGGCUCCGUCAGUUAAGCCUCUGAC